GGUAUAAUCCAGCUAUGCUUUUUACAUCCCUUCACCACCUUACCGUUGAAGUUAUUGGAUCAUACAAAUUGAAAAUCAUUCUAAAUUUGGGAGAAGAUUUGCUGAGAAUAAGAUAGUAUGUUUGUUUUUACAGUAGACAGUAUGGUUAUCUCCGUUGGCCUGGGAGGAGUGCUUUGUAGCUUCAGCUUCAGCCUAGAAUUUGCAUUUGGCAAUGUUUGAGAUGGGAUGGUUAGAUCUGCAAUUUCAGAAGAAGCUCAGGGGCUUACCUUGACUUGCAUUUGACUUGGUUUGUUGAGAUUGGACCUGGUGCAGAACAAAUAAAUAAAGCUCCUUGUAGUGGGAUUCAAGUCAAAAGUUUAUUGCUUCAGGGUAAUUUGACAGAUGAAACUUGCUUGUGGACAGCUACAAAUAUUUACAGGUUUGAAAUACAAACCAAGCAGACAGCGCGGAAUUUUGUUUCUUACAUUAAAUUUAUAGUCAAUUCCUUUGUUAAUUCCUAUGAACCCUAUGUGGGGGCAUAUGCUUGAUAUAUUUUUUUGUUAUCUUAUUUUACAUUUUUCUCUUAGAUGAUAUGUAGCUAUCAAGCAUGCCCUAGCUUGCUGAUUAUUUUAAUGGUUAUAAAAAUACUGGUGAUUAUUUGACAAACUACGUUAGAGCAUUGUUUCACUGUGUGGAUCCUAUAUUAUAUGUAUCCCUAUCUUCUCUA